CCAGAGAACUUAGCAGAGAUGCUUUGGUGCCUUCGGGAACUCUGAGACAGGUGCUGCAUGGCUGUCGUCAGCUCGUGUUGUGAAAUGUUGGGUUAAGUCCCGCAACGAGCGCAACCCUUAUCCUUUGUUGCCAGCGGCUCGGCCGGGAACUCAAAGGAGACUGCCGGUGAUAAACCGGAGGAAGGUGGGGAUGACGUCAAGUCAUCAUGGCCCUUACGGCCAGGGCUACACACGUGCUACAAUGGCGCAUACAAAGAGAAGCGACCUCGCGAGAGCAAGCGGACCUCAUAAAGUGCGUCGUAGUCCGGAUUGGAGUCUGCAACUCGACUCCAUGAAGUCGGAAUCGCUAGUAAUCGUAGAUCAGAAUGCUACGGUGAAUACGUUCCCGGGCCUUGUACACACCGCCCGUCACACCAUGGGAGUGGGUUGCAAAAGAAGUAGGUAGCUUAACCUUCGGGAGGGCGCUUACCACUCUGUGAUUCAUGACUGGGGUGAAGUCGUAACAAGGUAAGCGUACGUGU
rnacentral:rRNA from 1 species